ensembl:miRNA cja-mir-9951 cja-mir-9951
GCCUCCCGGCCCUGCUUCUGCGGCCGCCGCCGACUCCAUUUUGUCGGUAGAGGCAGGAGGAGGAGGUCGGGUUGUAGAAGCUGGAGUGGCCGGCAGCGC